rnacentral:rRNA from 1 species
AUUGAACGCUGGCGGCAGGCCUAACACAUGCAAGUCGAGCGGAUGAAGGGAGCUUGCUCCUGGAUUCAGCGGCGGACGGGUGAGUAAUGCCUAGGAAUCUGCCUGGUAGUGGGGGAUAACGUCCGGAAACGGGCGCUAAUACCGCAUACGUCCUGAGGGAGAAAGUGGGGGAUCUUCGGACCUCACGCUGUCAGAUGAGCCUAGGUCGGAUUAGCUAGUUGGUGGGGUAAAGGCCUACCAAGGCGACGAUCCGUAACUGGUCUGAGAGGAUGAUCAGUCACACUGGAACUGAGACACGGUCCAGACUCCUACGGGAGGCCGCAGUGGGGAAUAUUGGACAAUGGGCGAAAGCCUGAUCCAGCCAUGCCGCGUGUGUGAAGAAGGUCUUCUGAUUGUAAAGCACUUUAAGUUGGGAGGAAGGGCAGUAAGUUAAUACCUUGCUGUUUUGACGGUACCAACAGAAUAAGCACCGGCUAACUUCGUG